rnacentral:ncRNA from 1 species
AACUGGAGAGGUCUGAUGGCACAAUAUGUGUUGACUCAGACGCCGAAGGUGUACGGUAGCAGCCAAAUAUUGCCGGAUGCUAUUAAUCUCUCAGGCAAAAGGACAGGAGGA